GACCUGGAACAUGUCGGGUCCGACGUAGUGGACGUGGGUGUCGAUGGUGCCGGCGGUCAUGAUGAGUCCGUUGCCGGCCGCGAUCUCCGUGUUCGGGCCGAUCACCAGGUUGGGGUCGACCCCAUUCAUGGUGUCGGGGUUGCCGGAGCGCCCGAUGCCGACGAACCUGCCGUCGCGCACGCCCACAUCGGCCUUGAUGACUCCCCAGUGGUCGAGGAUGAUCACGCCGGUGAUGACGAGGUCAGGGGUGCCCUCGGCGCGGGUCCGGGAUGAUUGGGCCAUCGAUUCGCGGGC
rfam:Brevibacterium sandarakinum strain DSM 22082 genome assembly, chromosome: I